GAUGAACGCUGGCGGCGUGCUUAACACAUGCAAGUCGAACGGUGACGCCGAGCUUGCUCUCUCGCUCAGUGGCGAACGGGUGAGUAACACGUGUGCAACCUGCCUCUGUCCCUGGGAUAAGCGCUGGAAACGGCGACUAAUACCGGACAUGAGCUGCGACCGCAUGGUCAGCAGUUGGAAAGAUUUUUCGGUCUGGGAUGGGCUCACGGCACCUCAGCUUGUUGGCGAGGUAAGGGCUCACCAAUGCGUCGCCGGGCAGCCGGCCUGAGAGGGCGACCGGCCACACUGGGCCUGGGAUGCGGCCCGGACCACAACGGUAGGGAGCGGUGGGGAAGAUUGCACAAGGGGCGGAAGGCUGAUGCAGCAACGCCGCGUGGGGGAUGACGGCCAUCGGGUUGGAAACCACAGUUAGCAGGGAAGAAGCGAUAGUGACGGUACCGGCAGAAAAAGCGCCGGCUAACUACGUG
rnacentral:rRNA from 1 species